GUGAGAUCAAUGGAGGCUGAGGUAAAUCAUCUCGGAAAGGGUGAUGCUAGCCAAUAAACUUACGCUCAAGGCUGCAGGAACCCAAGUGCGGAAAGAGGAGCGCAGGUUGUCUCUAGGACUUGGAGGCGGGUGCCGUUUUUCCCGUGGUGAGUUCCUGGUUGCCUCAGAGAACUGAGGCCUUGUCCUGUCACCCACUCUAGUGUGUCCUCACUCCAGUCUCAGGGCCUGCACUGGAUUUGACAGAGUUUUGUGUCAACAUUAGAGGACAUUUUUGAAAAGAUUAAAAAGAAGAUCGUCCGUAAUCCCAGCAACCUAGCAAAGAACAGUUCUCACGCUGGAAGAGGGUCUAACCGGACUGAACAUCACAGUACUCUUGCGUCAGCAGCUGGAGGCAGUACGCAGAAGAGAAACAGGAAAAUAUGUGCUCUUCAGUUGUGAGGCGGAGAUGUGUUGCGUGAUUUGACUGAAGGACUUAGGUACCCUGGCAACCCUCUUCCAAGUAAAUAGAUUCUCAUUGUGCAUUAGCGCCUGACUACGUUAACGGAUGAGAGAAAAUAAGCAGACAACAGCCUGGAAAAUUCCAAGGUACUAGAAAGAUUCAUUUGGACUCAUUGAAGAGUCAAUGCCAGGUACACGAGGCUGGGUGGGGUCUUGGUGAAGGUUUUGCGUUUCCCAGUGCAGGAGAUCUUUCACAGGGCUCACAUGGACUUUCAAGUUGUCUUUUCCCACCAUCUAUUGACUCAGUGGAAGCCAGCUUUAGGAUUAUCAGGAAAUACUAGAGCUAUAGUACUCUGCCCACCCCAAACUCCCAAGGAAGAUACUAACGUAGAAAAGAUAGCUCAAACCCAAGUGAUUGUUUCCUAUUUUAUGAACAUUGUCAAGAGAACAUAAUGAAUAUAUAACAAGUUAAUAGGGAAAAUUAUAAGGUACAUGGGUUACCUUGAUGGUGGGAUCUCACUCAUUCUUAAAAUACAGUACUCAACACACUCUUGGGGUGCUCUCGCGAUGCUCUUGGCUGUCACCAUUAAGACUAGCAGCCAUUCAUUUGCUCUAAGUCACAGAGGAGCAAUGCAAAGCCCUCCCCACCCCUCUGUGUGGAGCGGCGGUUCUCAGCCUUCCUAACACUGCGACCCUUUAAUACAGUGCCUCAGGUUGUGCUGCCCCAGCCAUAAAAUUCUUUUUGUUGCUACUUCAUAACUGUAAUUUUGCUACUGUUAUAAAUUGUAAUGCAAACAUCUGCUAAGCAGGACAUCUGAUAUGUAACCCCCAAGGAAGGCCCGAACCUCCGACCCACAGGUUGAGAACCGCUGGUGUGGCGGUUCCAAGAGUCGAGAGUAGAAAGCCAUCAGUCUCAGAUGUUGACUGUGGGUCUUGUGACAAAUGAACGAAGCUCGUCAGCUUUCCUGGAGCACCUCAGUCCUUGAAUUAUGCACAGGCUGACUCCAGUGUGAGCUGAAAUAAACUGGAUCUCCUUGUUUGGAUCACAGCAUGCAAAAGGAAAACUGAACGGUAAAGAGGAAGUACAUUCACAAAUAAUUCCACCUGAAGGACAUCAUCAGGUAAGGCUCGCAGCAAAUAUGAUUAAAGGAGGUGGGUUUUGCUUUUCCACUUUUUGUUUAGUGAAGCUAAGACAACAGGGUGACGCGCGGAAGACGGCCAGACUAGAAAAGGACGGAGACUCAGGACCUCUGUGUUAAUGAAGGAGAAGCAGGGUACCACUGUCCGCUCCAAUUUCCUCAUGUUUAAAACGGGUGCCGUAACUGGGGAGCUAAAAGGCAGUCUUCACCUGUAAAGAGCUGACACCUGGUUUAUAGCAGCAGAGGUAGAAAACGGGUAACUCUGAGCACUGACUUGGGAUUCAGCUCUACACUGGCUAACAUGGCUAACACACCGGGGAGACUAAUGUGUGUUUCUGUUGACCCCCUCGAUCUCACCUGGAGUUAUCUUCAGAGUCAGAAGCGCAUCAAACUCAGGGGGCUCUUGAGAAUGUAGACCUCCAACCAUUGCAGUGGGACUGGCCUGGGGUGUGGCCUCUGGGCUCUACACUUCCUGCUCACAAGCACCUAGCCACUUCCCCCUCCCCCACCCCCUCUCAGGCUUUUAAGAUUUUUAAACCAGGUCUCAUCAUGUACUCCAGGUGAGUCACAAAGUCUCUACAGAGCUCAGGCUGGACUUGAACUCCUGAUUCUCCUGCCUCCACCUCCCAAGAGCUAAGAUUACAUGUUGGCACCAUUAUUUAUUUUUUCCCCUUUCUUUCAUUCGUUCUCAAAUCUUUGAAAACUUCAUCCAUGUAUAUACUAUAUCUUAAUCCUAUCUGUCCUUCACUCCCCUAUUCCAACUUCCGCAGGACCCUCCGAACUUCAUAUCCUCUUUUUAUACUAUGUAUUUACUAGUUUUGCAAAAAUGUUUUUUUAAAAAUACUUAUUUAUUUAUUCUGUAUUCAAUAUUCUGUCUGUGUGUAUGCUUGCAGGCCAGAAGAGGGCACCAGACCCCAUUACAGAUGGUUGUGAGCCACCAUGUGGUUGCUGGGAAUUGAACUCAGGACCUUUGGAAGAGCAGGCAAUGCUCUUAACCUCUGAGCCAUCUCUCCAGCCCCGCAAAAAUGUUUUAACCCAAGUAGUCAAUUAGUGUUGCCCAAUUGUGCACAAGUGUGAGGUUUUCCGCUGGGGCUUGGGGAGCCUGCCAAUGAUCACACCCCCAAGGAAAAGGAACUGCCCCUUCCCUAGCAGUGGGCAUCAGGUGUCAGCAGCUGUCAGCUAAGAGCAAGGCCUCAGGAGUCCCACCUCACUCCAUGUUGGUCUUUUUGUUGUUGUUUUUUGUUUCUCAAGAUAGGGUUUCUCUGUGUACCCUUGGCUGUCCUGGAACUCACUAUGUAGCCUAGGUUGGCCUCGAAUUCAGAGAUCCACCUGCCUCUGCCUCCCAAGGGCCUGGGUUAAAGGUGAGCACCGCCACCACCUGGCCCCCUUUUAACCGGCUUGAUCUCUCCAGUGCCGCCAUUUCUGGCUGGCUCUGUUCUUUCCAAUGGCAUAAAUUCUGGUCCCAGAUCUUCUCUCACCCCCACCCUGUACAAAUAAUCAGCUCCUUUCUUGUUAGAUUUGAGAGUAUGUGGCAUCCAGGAGCCACAGCCAUCCAGGGUUUGUCUCUCUUUCACAGGAACUGUCAAACUGACUUCUUCUGGGUCAGCCGUCUCCAUGUCAGAAGCCAUGUCUGAACAAAACUCCUGAAGCAGACAGUACUCUCUGCCCUCUGGCAGCCUCUCUGUGCCGGCCAGUGCCUUUCUCUUGCAGCCAUCUGAUUGUGUCUUGUGUGAAUUGUGGCUCCUUGAACAUCUGUGUCUCAUUGGUAUUAGUGGCCCUUUGAAGGCGGCUGUCUGAGCUCCCCAAGGUUCCCAGGGGAACCUUAACAUUCCCUUAACUCUGUAGACAGCCAACCCCCUGCUUUGAACACCUUCCCCAUGUCACAGUGCUUGCCACCAGCCCUGGCUCUGGGGUCUAAGUGUGAUGGCUAGGGAGAGCUACUGUAGUAUUGUCUUCUUCCCCAGAGCCCUUUCCACCAGGACUUAGAGCUUCCAGGAACUGUGAGUUGUCGGGUUUCUGAUUCUAUGCUAUAUAAUUCAGUGUUUGAAACUAAAUCCAGAGUCUCGUAUUUACUUCAGGUAAAACUCAUUUUGUUGAUGUUUUAGAACACUGCUUUCACUAAUUAAGGUCCUUGUGGAUUGUGACUCUGUCACCCACCUGACUAGUUAUCAGUCCCACUCGGUACCAUCUGGAAAUGGUUCAACAAGCACUAUCCACGCCCACGUAAGUACUUGAGAAUGUAUUGUUCAAGGGAACAGUGUUAAGUAGAAGACACAGAACCAUCAUUUUUACAAAUAAAAAGCACUCAGUUACAAUGUAUUGUUCCUGGGUUUCUAGGCUGGCAGUAGACUGCCAUCAAGAGUCUCAAGUUGAGCCAGGUGUGGUGGUACAUGACUUUAAUACCAGGACUCUAAUGGCAGAGGCAGGUUUUUGUGAGUUCAAAGCCAGCCUGGCUUACAAAAUGAUUUCCAGGCUAGCCAGGGCUAGCCUCUAGCUUCAGCUAUUUCACUAUUUGCUAUUUGGCCUGUGUUGGUGGCAUCACCCUGAGAUCCCACCCCAGCCCCAUGCAGAAUCAGUUGCUUUCUGAAGGCAUCAUGGAGUACGCUAACUCAUUUUCAUGGUCAUCUCGAUUGGAUUUAGGAUCACCUGGGAGAUUGAGGAGGCUCAUCUUUGGGUAGAUUGGAGGAGGCAUUUCCAGCAAAGAGACACUGAGAGAGUAAGACCCACCUGCCUCACACUGAAUAUCAGUGGUACCUUCUCAUGGGCUAGAGCUCAAGAUAGAACAAAAGGGGAAGAAACAGAACUCCAGCCUGGCACUUAUAGAUGCUCAGAACACGUUGUGGAUCCUUGGUCAUUGUGUUGAGUCUUUACUCCUCUAUUUCAGCAAACAGUCGCUAACUACUUGUUUGUUAAAUUAGCCUGGAACCUACACAGAGCCCAGCACCAAGCCCAGCAUCACCCUGCUGGUUUCUGAAACAGACAGCCCGCUUUUAAUACAAGCCCAUCUCUAUCUGUUUCUUAAGCCUUUCAGCAUAAUCCUUCCUGGCAUUCAUCUCAAGGUCUAUGCCCCAAUGGUAGCAACCAGGUUCUACCUCUGUGGUAACCGGGCCUGGUUGUGCAUCGACUUUGCAGCUAGCAUGUUUGAGCCCAUAUAACAUGAGUGAGGAAUCUUAUUAUCUAUGUAACUAGUUAGCUAGUGUCUCAUGGGGGAUUGAUGUAUAGCACUACCUCUAUCUGGGAGCCCGUGAUGUAGAUAAACACUUGCUUUUUAAGCCUCCUUCCCUCUCAUCCCUGCUCUAUGCUAAGCCCAUCCUCUGACACCUUGUUAUUACCACAAGUGUGCCCUAUAGAAAGGGUAACUAGAUGUCCUCGGGUCCUUUAUUUUUUUCAACCAUAUCAGACAGGCACAAUUUUCCUUGCUUAGUGGCACUUAACAAUCUGAAUUAAGAGUUCAGCUUCACUCUGUCAUCCGAAGGCACCCAUUACCGUGCAGAUCUAGAGUCGCAAACAUGGCGUAGCUAUCAUAGUUGCUGUCCCUUCACCAUCCUUUGGGAAAGCACUGAGUGCUCCUUCCCGGAUACCCGCUCUCCUCUGGCUUGAUCAGGGUUGGAAGGAAGCUGACAUACUCAAAGAGGGAGAAAGGUCUAACUUGUAGAGAGCAUGACAUGGGGAAGCUGAGGCAGGAUAAGGAAGCACCCUGGCUGUGACAACGACAAGAAGUUGAUACCAGUCCUGGGCCGGAAGGGUACGGUAUGGUUGCUGAACUCUGCAUUCCUACACAAUGCUUCUCAUGUAUCAAGCCAAAGAGAAGGCUUGAGAGCCCAGGGACUUGGUUAUGGUCAUCUUCCUGGGCCUAAAGAGAAGCAGAAGGGCAGAAGACAAACCAGAAAAGCAGGUGGGAGGUGUCCAGCACAGGGCUAUGGUUUUGGAUAAGCAUAUUUUCCUGUUCCCUCUCCUAAAGUUCAUUUUGAAAUUCUCUUGAUCAGAGUCUCUCGCCAAACAUGUUCAUCCUAAUUUCUUGAGAGCUGACUUCUUGCCAGGAGCCUGCAUCCAAAUAUACCAGUUCCACUUUAGAAGACCAAAUCCUGAUUUUGGAUGGCAUCAAAGAGCCAGCUGUUCAUUUCUAUUCUCCUACCUCUUCCAAAAUCACAAGCCUGGUGGGGAGGUGAGGUGACCUCGGUGAAAAGGUUAUUUGAUGUCCCCUCCCAUGGAGCUGCAACCCACAGGCUGAGAAUCACUUCCUGAGAAGGUGUUAUCUAAACAUUUUGAUCAAGACCAAUCAAAUAUUGUUUAAGGUUGCCUGUCCCUGAAUUGGCCCGAGCACAUGGCUGCUGAUGGCAAAUGCUACUGUCAGCCUAAGCUGGAGAAGCUUCUCUUUGCUGCGGAAGGAGGUGAGUGUAGGGACACAAGCCUGCUCAGGGUGCAGAGGCUAAGGAAAGGUGUGUGCCCAGCCAUAAGCAAAACAUUUACACCAUGGUCUCUAAGGUUCAGGAGAAUGCCAUGGUAGAUGAGGGAAAGAAGUAAGGAUUGGACCACAGGAAGUGGAGCUAUGGAAUGCUGUGGGAUAUUUACACACUGUGUGAAGAUAUAUUGCUGUGAUUAGCUUAAUAAAAAAAACCAACAGCCAAUAGCUAGGCAGGAGAGUAUAGGCGGGUCUUCCGGCAGAGAGAGAACUCGGGGAAGAAGAAAGGCGGAGUUGCCGGUCAGAUAAGGAGGAAGCAGGACGGACCUCCGGAAAUAAGGUAACGAGUCAUAUGAAAGAAUGUGGACUUAGUUUAAGUUAUAAGAACUAGUUAGGAACAAGCCUAAGCUAAGGGCAAGCAUUCAUAAUUAAUAACAAGUCUUAAUGUCAUUAUUUGUGGGUUGGCGGUCCAAGGAAGUCUGAAGAGAAAGCUUACUACAGUGGAAUGUCAGGGUGCAGUCCCUCCAACCACAGUGCCUGCACUGAGCUGCUGAAGAGCUGGCCUGUAAACAUCCAGCAGUGGAUGGGGGAGGGACUCAAGAGGCCUAGUUGGCUCUUCCUCCUGAACUAGUGGCCAUUGAUAGAUUCUGAGACUUGAAAGUCACUGUCAUUAGUCGAGUAACCACUGGUUACUACUACCGGGCUGUGAAGGAGAGUUACAAACCCACAGUGAAUUAACUGCUUUUUGUUGCUGCGAUAAAACACUGUGACCAAGAGCAAUGUAGGGAAGAAAGAGUUUAUUUUGGCUUAUGUUUCCAAAGGGAGAGUCCGUAAUGGUGGGAGAGGCGUGGCAACAAGAGACUGGAGCAGAGAGAUCACACCUCGACCACUCAGAGGAAGUAGAGAGAGACGUGGAAGUGGGCUGAGCUAAGAAUUCUCAAAGCCCACCCCAAGUGACACUUCCUUCAGCAAGGAUGCACCUCAUAAAUGUUCCUUAACUUCCCCCACAGAACAUAUCAUCUGGGGACCAAGUGGUCAAAUACUCGAGCCUAUGGGGGACGUUGUCAUUCAGAUCCGCACACACCAUCACACAGAUGGCCCUGGUUUAGUUCACUGGGUCUCAAUACAAAAUGGAAACCUGACUAGGGGAAGGGGGAUUGUGAGGAGGGGAGGAGAGUGAUGGGGUGGGAGGCAGGAUAAGAGGCAGGAUCAGGAUGCAGUGUACACAUAUAUGAGAAUGCCAAAGAACAAGAUAAAUAAGUAAAUGAGCACACACAGACACAUAUAUAUAAACUUGAUUGGCCUUGAACUCACAAAGAUAUGCUUGCCUCUCCCUAUCUACAGAGUACUGGAAUUAAACAUGUGCACUACAAUACCCAGCUAACUAAUAUAUUUUUAAAAAUGUAUUUGAUUUCAUCGUGUGUGUGAGUGUUUUGCUUGCAUGUAAGACUGUGGACCAUGUAUGUGUCUGGUGCUUGUGGAGGUUAGAAGAGGACACCAGAUCCCAUGAAGCUGGAAUUGUAGACAGUUGAGUCACCAUGUGGGUGCUGGGAGAGGAACCCGGUGCCUCACAAGAGCAGCCAGUGCUCAACAGCUGAGCCAUCUCUCCAGCUCUGAACAAUUAAUUUUUUUUUAAAGAAGAAAAGAAAUUGCGUAAACACAUUCUUACAGCCCCUGUGGGUUUAUAAUUCACACAUGAGUGCUAAUGUACUUAGACAUUCUAUAUGCUGUAAGCAAUUGUAAUACCAAAAAUGAAAUACCCAGGUAGUAAAUAAACUAUAUUUUAAAAUCAUAUUCAUUUUUAAUCACUAAGAGAGAGGACGAGGCAAGGAAGACGGUUGCUUUUGCCCUUCCUACCGCCUGAGGCUCAAGCUGAAAACAACUGCCUUAAUUCCAUCCAGACUCUGCUGUCUUCUGAGUCCCUGGUCUCUCGGGGACUCAGGAUAAUAGCACCUUGAGUCAACAUGGCUGUUUUUCUCCCUCUGUUAUUUGACUCCUGAUAUCUGCAACGUAUCUAGCUGGCAAUAGAUGACACUAGCAAGGAAGCUAGUUCUUUCCAAUAACCAUGGCAGGUGGCUGUCCAGCCCUGCCCACAGAGAUGUGAUUGACAGAGCUCCACCCUCACCUCCGCAGCCUUGCCUCUUCAUGCUCCUUCAUGCGGGAUGCCUGCCCUACUAACUCUAGACCAGCUCUUCUCAACCUGCCUAAUGCUGGGACCCUGCAACACAGUGCCUCAGGCUAUGGUGACCCCAACCAUAACAUUAUUUCUUUGCUACUCCAUUACUGUAAUUUUGAUACUGUUAGGAAUCAUAAUGUAAGUAUCCGAUUUGCAGGAUAUUUGGUACGUGAUCCCUGUGAAAGGGUUGUUCGACCUCCCCCAGGUUGAGAACCCCUACUCUAGAGUAUAGUGUACCUACCUAAUGACUUUUCAUCUCAAUGAAAUAGUAGGUUAAUCGGUGUGUGUAUGUGUCUAUACUCAUACUGUAUGUGCACACUUAUUAUAUUAUACAUAUUCUAAAUUAAAAGCUAGUACUUUAAAACAAUACUUACAAUAAGUAUAUUCACAAACAAUUGCCUACACACACACACACACACACACACACACAAGCAAAUAAAAUGGUAGAAAAUAACUACAAUUACUUAAUUUGUAUGACUGUUUUGUUCUUCAAAGCUCUUUUAAUGUUUUCUAAGCAUUCCCAGCAUUGUAUGGGAUUUGUAAAGCAGGAGUCGGCGUUCACAUCGCAGACACUUGAUGCAUUUUCCCCUUUGACUUCUGCAUUCCUGCAGGCACCGUCUGAGCACAGCCAGUCAACGUCUUUAAGCUGCGAUCGACAUGAUCAUUGAUCUCCUGAUGUGAUAAGUACACUGGCUCUGUCCUUAUCUCAGGAAAUAGACACGGGAAGACUUCAAAAUAGAGGGCUGUAGGCCGUUGCUCGUUCCCAAAUGACUAGAACGCGUUUUUUACCAUA